rnacentral:rRNA from 1 species
UACGAAGGGGGCUAGCGUUGCUCGGAAUCACUGGGCGUAAAGGGUGCGUAGGCGGGUCUUUAAGUCAGGGGUGAAAUCCUGGAGCUCAACUCCAGAACUGCCUUUGAUACUGAAGAUCUUGAGUUCGGGAGAGGUGAGUGGAACUGCGAGUGUAGAGGUGAAAUUCGUAGAUAUUCGCAAGAACACCAGUGGCGAAGGCGGCUCACUGGCCCGAUACUGACGCUGAGGCACGAAAGCGUGGGGAGCAACA